AAUCUGACCUGUACACACUGUGCAGAUGAAAAGAACAGUGAUAUAUCAAAAGUGGAAUGGUCACGCAAGCAAUGCCAUGACGAGGACACAAUGAAUUACGCUGCCCUGAACCUUAAGAAGCCAAAACCCAGGAGACAGAAGAAAGACGGGAAUAAUGACACUCUGUAUUCUGACCUCCGCUACAGAGAUUAUGAAU